rnacentral:rRNA from 1 species
AGCGAACGCUGGCGGCAGGCCUAACACAUGCAAGUCGAACGAACUCUUCGGAGUUAGUGGCGGACGGGUGAGUAACACGUGGGAACGUGCCUUUUGGUUCGGAAUAACUCAGGGAAACUUGUGCUAAUACCGAAUGUGCCCUUCGGGGGAAAGAUUUAUCGCCAUUAGAGCGGCCCGCGUCUGAUUACCUAGUUGGUGAGGUAACGGCUCACCAAGGCGACGAUCAGUAGCUGGUCUGAGAGGAUGACCAGCCACACUGGGACUGAGACACGGCCCAGACUCCUACGGGAGGCAGCAGUGGGGAAUCUUGCGCAAUGGGCGAAAGCCUGACGCAGCCAUGCCGCGUGAAUGAUGAAGGUCUUAGGAUUGUAAAAUUCUUUCACCGGGGACGAUAAUGACGGUACCCGGAGAAGAAGCCCCGGCUAACUUCGUG